rnacentral:rRNA from 1 species
CCUACGGGAGGCAGCAGUGAGGAAUAUUGGUCAAUGGGCGUGAGCCUGAACCAGCCAAGUAGCGUGAGGGAUGACUGCCCUAUGGGUUGUAAACCUCUUUUAUCCGGGGGUAAAGUUGUCCACGUGUGCAUGUUUGCAUGUACCUCAUGAAUAAGGAUCGGCUAAAUCCGUGCCAGCAGCCGCGGUAAUACGGAGGGUGCGGGCGUUAUCCGGAUUUAUUGGGUUUAAAGGGAGCGUAGGCGGGACUCUAAGUUAGCCGGGAAAUGUUGUGGCUCAACCCUGGUAGUGCGGUGGAAACUGGGGACCUUGAGUGCGCGGAAGGUAGGCGGAAUUCGUGGUGUAGCGGUGAAAUGCAUAGAUAUCACGAAGAACCCCGAUUGCGAAGGCAGCGUGCCGGAGCGUAACUGACGCUGAAGCUCGAAAGCGUGGGUAGCGAACAGGAUUAGAUACCCGGGUAGUC